rnacentral:sRNA from 1 species
CAGUUUCAAUUUGCUGCGGACAAAUGAAAUGAAUAUGUGCAUCAAUACCGCCGGCGGUUACAAUUUUCCCUUCUGCUGCAAUCACUUCUGUACUCGCACCAAUGAUGAUGUCUACUUCAUCCAUCAGCAGGGGAUUGCCCGCUUUUCCGAUGGUUUGAAUGAGUCCAUCUUUUAUUCCAAUAUCUGCUUUAUAUAUGCCUGUAUAAUCAACAAUAAUUGCAUUUGUCAACACUAAGUCCGCUGCUUCGCUUCGUGUUGCAAGAGGAUGCUGCCCCAUUCCGUCACGA